CCUACGGGGGGCAGCAGUGGGGAAUAUUGGACAAUGGGGGGAACCCUGAUCCAGCCAUGCCGCGUGUGUGAAGAAGGCCCUCGGGUUGUAAAGCACUUUCAGUGAGGAAGAACGCCUGGUGGUUAAUACCCAUCAGGAAAGACAUCACUCACAGAAGAAGCACCGGCUAACUCCGUGCCAGCAGCCGCGGUAAUACGGAGGGUGCGAGCGUUAAUCGGAAUUACUGGGCGUAAAGCGCGCGUAGGUGGCUUGAUAAGCCGGUUGUGAAAGCCCCGGGCUCAACCUGGGAACGGCAUCCGGAACUGUCAAGCUAGAGUGCAGGAGAGGAAGGUAGAAUUCCCGGUGUAGCGGUGAAAUGCGUAGAGAUCGGGAGGAAUACCAGUGGCGAAGGCGGCCUUCUGGACUGACACUGACACUGAGGUGCGAAAGCGUGGGUAGCAAACAGGAUUGGAUACCCUAGUAGUC
rnacentral:rRNA from 1 species